GAGACAGCAGCAGCCGCGGGAAUACAGAGGGUGCGAGCGUUAAUCGGAUUUACUGGGCGUAAAGCGUGCGUAGGCGGCUUCUUAAGUCGGAUGUGAAAUCCCUGAGCUUAACUUAGGAAUUGCAUUCGAUACUGGGAAGCUAGAGUAUGGGAGAGGAUGGUAGAAUUCCAGGUGUAGCGGUGAAAUGCGUAGAGAUCUGGAGGAAUACCGAUGGCGAAGGCAGCCAUCUGGCCUAAUACUGACGCUGAGGUACGAAAGCAUGGGGAGCAAACAGGAUUAGAUACCCGAGUAGUCCCUGUCUCUUAUAC
rnacentral:rRNA from 1 species